rnacentral:rRNA from 1 species
UGGGGAAUAUUGCACAAUGGAGGGAACUCUGAUGCAGCGACGCCGCGUGAACGAAGAAGGCUUUCGAGUCGUAAAGUUCUUUUAUAUGGGAAGAUAAUGACGGUACCAUAAGAAAAAGCCCCUGCUAACUACGUGCCAGCAGCCGCGGUAAUACGUAGGGGGCUAGCGCUGUCCGGAAUCACUGGGCGUAAAGGGUUCGCAGGCGGAAAUGCAAGUCAGGUGUAAAAGGCAGUAGCUUAACUACUGUAAGCAUUUGAAACUGCAUAUCUUGAGAAGAGUAGAGGUAAGUGGAAUUUUUGGUGUAGCGGUGAAAUGCGUAGAUAUUAAAAAGAAUACCGGUGGCGAAGGCGACUUACUGGGCUCAUUCUGACGCUGAGGAACGAAAGCGUGGGUAGCAAACAGG